GGGUGCGAUCAUACCAGCACUAAUGCACCGGAUCCCAUCAGAACUCCGUAGCUGAGCGUGUUUGGGCUAGUGUAGUACUAAGAUGGGGUCCUCCUGGUAAGUUCUCGUGUUGCACCCC
rnacentral:rRNA from 1 species